GGGCCGUUAGCUCAGCUGGCUAGAGCACUACGCUGGCAGCGUAGGGGUCGGGGGUUCGAAUCCCCCACGGUCCACCA
rnacentral:tRNA from 1 species